rnacentral:rRNA from 1 species
CGGCCUAUCAGCUUGUUGGUGGGGUAACGGCCUACCAAGGCAUCGACGGUAGCUGUCUGAGAGGACGAUCACCACACUGGACUGAGACACGGCCCCACUCCUACGGAGGCAGCAGCAGGAAUCUUGCGCAAUGGCGAAAGCCUGCGCAGCGACACCGCGUGGGGGAAGAAGGCUCUAGGGUCGUAAACCCCUUUUCUCAGGGAGGAGAAUGGACAGUACCUGAGGAAUAAGGUACGGCUAACUACGUGCCAGCAGCCGCGGUAAUACGUAGGUACCGAGCGUUGUCCGAAUUUACUGGGCGUAAAGGGCGCGUAGGCGGCCCGUUAAGUCUUAUGUGAAAUCUCCCGGCUCAACUGGGAGGGGACAUGGGAAACUGGCAGGCUCGAGGGCAGUAGAGGGAAGCGGAAUUCCCGGAGUAGUGGUGGAAUGCGUAGAUACCGGGAGGAACACCAGAGGCGAAAGCGGCUUCCUGGGCUGUCCCUGACGCUGAGGCGCGAAAGCGUGGGGAGCAAACCGGAUUAGAUACCCUGGUAGUC